rnacentral:tRNA from 1 species
GUUUUUAUGGUGUAUCAAACAUUUUACAUUUUCGCUGUAAAGCAAAAGAAUAAAUCUUUUAAAAACA